UACAGGGGGGGCAAGCGUUGUUCGGAAUUACUGGGCGUAAAGGGUCUGUAGGCGGCCCACUAAGUCAGACGUGAAAUCCCUCAGCUUAACUGGGGAACUGCGUCUGAUACUGGAUGGCUCGAGUGUGGGAGAGGAAUGCGGAAUUCCAGGUGUAGCGGUGAAAUGCGUAGAUAUCAAGUGGAACACCAGUGGCGAAGGCGAAUCCCUGGAAAAUACCUGACACUGAGGCACGAAAGCUAGGGGAGCAAACAGG
rnacentral:rRNA from 1 species